AAACUAUUUCCAAACAAAAGGUAAGCAAAUAGCAUGACAACAAAAGAAAAACAACUGGAGUUGGGCUUCAUCAAGGACAGAAACGCUUGAACACAUCACCACAUAUAGCCAAUUGCUCCUUUUGACUUGGUGAUCAAACUUGUGGACAUUGAGAUCACCAUCAUCAUCCUCAGCAAACUCCUCCACAUUUUCUCUCCUUCCCUCAGUUUCCAUCCUCCUUCCCAUCAUCUCUUUCUUCUUUCUCUUAACCAUGGUUUCCUCUACUAAAUCACUAAACAAGUGAUUAUGAAGGCAAUGAAUUCACUGUUACCAGGUGCCGGAGGUGUUUAUUGUAAAAUAAAAUAAACGUUUUUAAGAUUUUUUUUUUGGAAAGAGAUAACAGCGUAGCUAAAGCAACCAAGGUUUAAUAAAAAAUGGCGUCCCCGGUCUUAUAUAGCGGUUAUGUUGGAAAUGGUGUAGGAGCAGCUCGUGAAGCUCUAGCUGUUCAAAUAUCUCCCGUGAUUUUUGCCGUUUCUUUCGUCAAACCUUCUCUAGCAGUCGCAAGGCGUUCGGCCUCCGCUUCCGCCUCUCGUCUUUGUUGCCGUCGGUUUGGUCGACGCGGGAUCGGGAUGGCGGGUCAAAAUUUCAAGACAACCAAAAAUCACCUUAGGCAUGUUGAGUCAAUGUCUACUCUGCCUUCCGGCGCCGGGAAAAUAACUGGUCUUAAUGCUGUUAUUUUAGGAGAAGCUUUGGCUUCUGAAGAGGACGAUCUCGUUUUCCCUAAUGAUGACUUCGUUCGUCAAGCUCUUGUUCCCUCUCCUAAGAAGUACUUGGAGAUGUAUAAAAGGUCAAUUGAAGAUCCAGCCGGAUUUUGGUCCGAUAUUGCUUCUCAGUUUUACUGGAAGCAGAAAUGGGGCAAAUCGGUUUUGUCCGAGAACUUCGAUGUCCGCGAGGGCAGGAUUAAGAUUGAGUGGUUCAAGGGCGGUGUCACCAACAUUUGUUACAAUUGUUUGGAUAGAAAUGUUGAAUCUGGAAAUGCUGACAAAGUUGCUAUUUACUGGGAGCCCAAUGAACCUGGUUCCCAAGACUCCUUAACUUACUCUCAACUUCUUCAAAGAGUUUGUCAGCUAUCCAAUUAUUUAAAAGAUAAAGGAGUUAAAAAGGGUGAUGCUGUUGUGAUUUAUUUACCCAUGCUCAUGGAACUCCCCAUUGCAAUGCUUGCUUGUGCCCGCAUUGGUGCUGUCCACUCGGUUGUGUUUGCAGGAUUUUCUGCGGAAUCUCUCGCUCAAAGAAUUGUGGACUGUAAACCAAAGGUAGUGAUUACAUGUAAUGCUGUCAAAAGAGGUUCUAAAGUUAUUCCCCUCAAAGACAUAGUUGAUUCUGCCCUUGUUGACUCUACUAAAAAUGGGAUCUCAGUUGAUGUAUGUUUAACUUAUGAAAAUCAAUCUGCAAUGAAGAGGGAAAGCACUAAAUGGCAGGAGGGAAGAGAUGUAUGGUGGCAGGAUGUUGUCCCUAAAUAUCCAACUAAUUGUGAAGUAGAGUGGGUUGAUGCAGAAGAUCCUCUUUUUCUGCUGUAUACUAGUGGGAGCACAGGGAAACCAAAGGGUGUUCUCCAUACAACUGGAGGAUAUAUGGUUUACACUGCCACAACAUUCAAGUAUGCAUUUGAUUACAAGCCAUCUGAUAUCUAUUGGUGCACUGCUGACUGUGGUUGGAUCACUGGGCAUAGCUAUGUAACUUAUGGACCUAUGCUGAACGGAGCAACUGUUGUUGUUUUUGAAGGGGCUCCAAAUUAUCCCGAUCCUGGACGCUGUUGGGAUAUUGUUGAUAAAUUCAAAGUGACAAUAUUUUAUACUGCCCCCACAUUGGUGCGGUCUCUCAUGCGUGAUGGUGAUGAGUAUGUUACUCGCUAUUCACGAAAAUCCUUACGGGUCCUUGGAAGUGUAGGCGAGCCCAUUAAUCCAAGUGCUUGGAGGUGGUUUUUCAAUGUAGUUGGAGAUUCCAGGUGUCCUAUAUCUGACACUUGGUGGCAAACUGAAACUGGUGGCUUUAUGAUUACUCCAUUGCCGGGUGCCUGGCCACAGAAGCCUGGUUCUGCAACUUUCCCUUUCUUUGGUGUUCAGCCUGUCAUAGUGGAUGAGAAGGGUGCUGAGCUUGAAGGAGAGUGUAGUGGGUAUCUUUGUGUGAAAAGCUCCUGGCCGGGGGCAUUCCGGACUCUUUAUGGUGAUCAUGAAAGAUAUGAAACCACAUACUUCAAGCCAUUUCCUGGCUAUUAUUUCAGUGGUGAUGGCUGUAGCAGGGACAAGGAUGGAUACUACUGGCUAACUGGAAGAGUUGAUGAUGUCAUCAAUGUUAGUGGUCAUCGUAUUGGCACAGCAGAAGUGGAAUCUGCUCUUGUUUUUCAUCCCCAAUGUGCAGAAGCUGCUGUAGUUGGUGUUGAGCAUGAGGUUAAAGGACAGGGUAUUUAUGCAUUUGUCACUCUUGUGGAGGGUGUUCCUUACAGUGAAGAGCUUAGGAAAAGUCUUAUCCUCACAGUGCGAAAUCAGACCCACAAUUAGAGUUUUUGUGACAAAUUGGUAUCCGAGCUUGUUUUCGAGUGGGAUUGAGCUGCAAAUGGCUGAUUUAGGUCGCAUCCAUGGCAGAAUCAGUACAAUCUUUGGACCUAGAGGAUCUUGAAGAUUAUUGGAAACUACUGAAAGAAAAAUAAGAAAAUAUGAUGAGGAACAUCUCAAGAAGUGUGGUGGUAGGCCAAGAAGUGAGGAUCGCCAAGAAGCAGUUAGGGUUGCAGAAUUGGAGAAGCAAUUAAGCAUUUUGCAAUCGACAGUGCAGAAAAAUGUCCACGAUCUGGAGGUACUGAAAGAAAAAUUCAGUAAAUCUGAUGAUGAGAACAACAAAUUCAAUGAAGAAGUGCGUGCUUUUAUGAGUAUUAUACUGAAGGACAUGAAGGAUGAGGGUAAAGAAAAAAUGCAGCAACUCAAAGAGUCUCAAGUAAACAGAGUCGCU